rnacentral:tRNA from 1 species
AGGGGGCAUGGUCGGGAUAGCUCAGUUGGUAGAGCAGAGGACUGAAAAUCCUCGUGUC